rnacentral:rRNA from 1 species
UGGGGAAUAUUGCACAAUGGGCGGAAGCCUGAUGCAGCAACGCCGCGUGGGGGAUGACGGCCUUCGGGUUGUAAACCUCUUUUGGCAGGGAAGAAGCUUUUGGGUGACGGUACCUGCAGAAGAAGCGCCGGCCAACUACGUGCCAGCAGCCGCGGUAAGACGUAGGGCGCGAGCGUUGUCCGGAUUUAUUGGGCGUAAAGAGCUCGUAGGCGGCUUGUCGCGUCGUCCGUGAAAACCCGUGGCUCAACUGCGGGCUUGCGGUCGAUACGGGCAGGCUGGAGUUCGGUAGGGGAGACUGGAAUUCCUGGUGUAGCGGUGAAAUGCGCAGAUAUCAGGAGGAACACCGGUGGCGAAGGCGGGUCUCUGGGCCGAUACUGACGCUGAGGAGCGAAAGCGUGGGGAGCAAAC